rnacentral:rRNA from 1 species
GAGGGUGAGGGGCAAGAAGCGGGGGGAAUAGAGAGGGCGGAAGGGUGGGUGGGAGUCACGGGGCGUAAAAGGGGCGUAGGUGGCGAGGAAAGUAGGAGGUGAAAGGUGUGGGCUGGACGGCGGAAUGGGAUUGGAAACUGCCUUGGUCGAGGGGUGGAGGGGGGACUGGAAUUCUGGGUGUAGCAGUGAAAUGCGUAGAUAUCGAGAGGAACACCAGUGGCGAAGGCGAGUCCCUGGACAACUCCUGACACUGAGGCACGAAAGCUAGGGGAGCAAACAGGAUUAGAUACCCGUGUAGUC